rnacentral:rRNA from 1 species
GCACAAGCGGUGGAGCAUGUGGUUUAAUUCGAUGCAACGCGAAGAACCUUACCUGGGCUUGACAUCCCUGGAAUCCCCUGGAAACAGGGGAGUGCCCUUCGGGGAGCCAGGAGACAGGUGCUGCAUGGCUGUCGUCAGCUCGUGUCGUGAGAUGUUGGGUUAAGUCCGCUAACGAGCGCAACCCUCGCUGUGUGUUAUAUGUGUCACACGGGACUGCCGGUCUUAAGCCGGAGGAAGGUGGGGAUGAUGUCAAGUCAGCAUGGCCUUUAUAUCCUGGGCUACACACACGCUACAAUGGCCAACACAAUAGGUUGCUAAGCCGCGAGGUGGCGCCAAUCCAUAAAGUUGGUCUCAGUUCAGAUUGUAGGCUGCAACCCGCCUGCAUGAAGAUGGAGUUGCUAGUAACCGCAGGUCAGCUAUACUGCGGUGAAUACGUUCCCGGGGCUU